GUCUAUAGCCAUGCCCCCCUGAAUGUGCCUGAUCUUGUCUGGUCUUGGAAGCUAAGCAGGGUCAGGCCUGGUUAGUACUUGGAUGGGAGACCACCUAGGAAGAUCAGGUGCUACAGGUG
rfam:Pteropus alecto contig32946, whole genome shotgun sequence.